rnacentral:rRNA from 1 species
AUUGAACGCUGGCGGCAUGCCUUACACAUGCAAGUCGAACGGCAGCGGACCUUCGGGUGCCGGCGAGUGGCGAACGGGUGAGUAAUAUAUCGGAACGUACCUUUCAGUGGGGGAUAACGUAGCGAAAGUUACGCUAAUACCGCAUAUUCUGUGAGCAGGAAAGCAGGGGAUCGCAAGACCUUGCGCUGAUUGAGCGGCCGAUAUCAGAUUAGCUAGUUGGUGAGGUAAAGGACUCACCAAGGCGACGAUCUGUAGCGGGUCUGAGAGGAUGAUCCGCCACACUGGAACUGAGACACGGUCCAGACUCCUACGGAGGCAGCAGUGGGGAAUUUUGGACAAUGGGCGCAAGCCUGAUCCAGCCAUGCCGCGUGAGUGAGAAGG